CUACGGGCUGCACAGCAGUGAGGAAUAUUGCACAAUGGGGGGAACCCUGAUGCAGCAACGCCGCGUGGAGGAUGACGCAUUUCGGUGUGUAAACUCCUUUUAUAUGUCAAGAAAAUGACGGUAGCAUAUGAAUAAGCACCGGCUAACUCCGUGCCAGCAGCCGCGGUAAUACGGAGGGUGCAAGCGUUACUCGGAAUCACUGGGCGUAAAGGACGCGUAGGCGGGUUGGAAAGUCAGGUGUGAAAUCCUACAGCUUAACUGUAGAACUGCACUUGAAACUUCUAAUCUAGAGUAUGGGAGGGGGAGAUGGAAUUAGUGGUGUAGGGGUAAAAUCCGUAGAUAUCACUAGGAAUACCUAAAGCGAAGGCGAUCUCCUGGAACAUUACUGACGCUAAGGCGUGAAAGCGUGGGGAGCAAACAGGAUUAGAUACCCCCGUAGUC
rnacentral:rRNA from 1 species